rnacentral:rRNA from 1 species
UACGAGUGCCCCAAGCGUUAUCCGGAAUUCUUGGGCGUAAAGGGUGUGUAGGUGGUUUUGUUAGUCUUCUGUUCAAUUCUUCGGCUUAACCGGGGGUCUGCAAAAGAAACGGCAAAACUAGAGGAUGCGAGAGGUGUGCGGAACUCAUGGUGUAGGGGUGAAAUCCGUUGAUAUCAUGGGGAACACCGAAAGCGAAGGCAGCACACUGGCGCACUCCUGACACUGAAACACGAAAGCGUGGGUAGCGAAUGGG